rnacentral:rRNA from 1 species
GCUUUAAAUUUUCUAUUUUUAAACUAAAUUUACUUUUAGUUUAUAUUUUUAUUUAUAUAAAAAUAUAAAUAAAAAUAAAUAAGCUCUAAAUUUAAUAAAUAAAAAUAAAAUUUUUAACUUGCAAUCCUCAGGAUUUUUAGGAGAAAAUAAAAUAAAUUAGACCUCGUAAUUUUAUUAAGAACUGUAAAAAUAGAAUAAAUUAAAGC